rnacentral:rRNA from 1 species
UACAGAGGGUGCGAGCGUUGUCCGGAAUCACUGGGCGUAAAGGGCGCGUAGGUGGCGCGACAAGUCAGUGGUGAAAGCUCGACGCUCAACGUCGAGUCGGCCACUGAGACUGUUGGGCUGGAGCACUGUAGAGGCUCAUGGAAUUCCGGGUGUAGCGGUGGAAUGCGUAGAUAUCAGGAGGAACACCGGCGGCGAAGGCGGCUUCCUGGACCGAUACUGACGCUGAGACGCGAAAGCGUGGGGAGCAAACAGG